UCCUCCUUUGUCUCUCGUCUCUCGGUGUCUAUCUCUCCUCCACGUCAAGCAGCACAUCGGCGGUGACAUGGUGGAGUUUCGUGAGAUGUGGCGACGGCGGCGAGAGGUCGGAAUAGCAGCUCCUCCGGCGAGCUGUGGCUACGGCAGUGAGCAGACGAGGCAACUCUCCUUCCGGCAUGAACGAGUAGUAGCUCCGGCGACUCCUCUCCCCUUCUUCCUUUUUCUGGCGCGACGGGCAGAGGCUGAUCUCCGGCGAGGCAGCAGCAGAUCUGGCGGUCAUGGAGGUCGGUGGCGCACAGCAAUGGUGUGAAUCGCGGCGAACCCUCAGUAAGAUUUUACAGUAUUGAGGGUGAAAUGGAGGAAUCUCUUUGGAUGGGUAAAUGGUGCGUCGUUAUGUGAUCAAUCAAAUUCAUUCAGGUCUAAUUAUCUUAGUAAAAAUUAAUUUGGUUGACUUUUCUCUUUUAAUCAAUUUUCUUCAACUUCUUUCCAAGUUCUUGAUUUUUCUGGGUUUCUCCAUCCUUCACUUUUCCGCCGUAUUCUCCUUUGGGUGUUCGUGUUUAUCCAUCUGGGUUUCUUGAGUGGUCAACGGAGGUCUUCACCGGAGAAUAGCAUCUUGCUUAGAAUUUUCCCGGUGAUCAACAGUACACCGUCUUCCUAUUUCUUCUUUUUUUUUUUUUUUUUUUCUGGCCGGUAACAGUUCUAUUAAAGGAACUUUGGUGGUCAAUAGUCCACCGUCUUCUUCCUCCUAAUUUUUCCGGCUGGUCAAUUGAAUUUUUGUGGUGGUCAAAGCUCCGUGCCAGUUCUCCUCUGUAUUUUCCGGUGGUCAAUUGGGUCUAUCGGUGGUCAAACUUCUGCGAAUGAUUGAAUGGAAGUCGGAUAUACUACCUUACUCUGGCGAGUUACGUACCAUUGAGCGAUUCAUUGAGGUUACUAGCAUUGACGAGUCAACCAAACUCUUCGCGAAGAUGGAGAAUUUUGGAGGCUUUCUUCGCAAUCGAUGUUAGUGCUAUGGAUAUAUGCAAUUUGCAUCAUUAAGAAGAACGGACGUACGACGAGCUGACGGACGGACAGCCUGCGCGGCGGACGGACGACGAUCGAAGGAGAAGGCCGGGACGCGAACGACAAUCGGAGGAGAAGGCCGGGACGACGACUGGCUCAUCAGCUCUCAGCGCGGCUGUUGCGAUCGGCGAUUAUUUUUUUUUUUUUUACUUGGGUUAAAAUUCAAUUCGCCCAAUCUGAUAGCUAGGGUAAAUGUUGAAUGGGAAUCCGAGGCUCCGGUCUAAGAGGGUGCCUCGGAUUUCAAUACGAGUAUAAUAAUAAUAUUAUAGCCCGGCUCCGGUCCAUCUGGGAGACGCGGAUUCUAAUAUUAUUAUUAUAAUAAUAUUAUAGCCGCGACUCCGGUCCAUCUGGGAGAUGCGGAUUCUAAUAUUAUUAUUAUAAUAAUAAUAUUAUAGCCGCGGCUCCGGUCCUUUUGGGAGACGCGGAUUCUAAUAUUAUUAUUAUAAUAAUAUUAUAGCGGCGGCUCCGGUCCAUCUGAGAGACGCGGAUUAGCAUAUUAUAAUAAUAAUAAUAAUAAUAUUUCCAAGGCACCUCCUUGUAAUUGGUGCCUUGGAAAGUUCUCUCUUUUUCUAUAUAAGACACCUUCAUUUUGAAGGUGUAGUGAAAAAUAUUACUUAUAUUUUCAAAUACUACUUAUAUUUUCAAUUCUGUACUAGUGAAUACACUAAGAAUAUAUGUACCAUUGAAACUAGCUCGAAAAAAGACAAGUUUCAAGCAUUAUAUUUAUAUUACUCGUACGUGUAAUUGAAAGUAUCAUAACUAUAUGUUGGAUUAGUUACGUUUUUAAUUCGUUCACGUGCAAUAA